rnacentral:siRNA from 1 species
CUCGAUGAGUAGGAGGGCGCG